UAUAAUGUUCUAUACAAUCAAAAUCAUUUGGAAUGUGGUGAAACAAAAAAUAGCGAUGACCAUGUCUCCAGUUUCCCACUGCAAAUUUGAAAGAACGCACCAAUCAGAUGAAUCAUGAAUUAGUGUGCAAAGGUUAAAUAUGAGUGCAUCAAGAUAGAAUACUAGUGCUGUGAUGCUUUUAUGGAAUAUAUGUCUGAAAAUACAGUAAUAAAUAUUGGUUUUAAAAGGAGUGAUGAACACAGUUAGCAGGAACGCAAGACCACCACAGCUAUGGAACUGGAUUAUUGCAUGACUGAGACCUGCAUGUCAAGGGAGAAAAGUGAUACUAUCCAGGAACUUAAAAGUUUGACUUCAGAUGACAAUCAAUAAUAAAUUAUUGUAAAAUUGCUAAAAAUUACAAGAAAACAUGGACACAGAGAUGAUGCAUACUGAUACAAGAAUCAUUCUUCAGAAAACUUCGAAGAAACUAUGAAGACAGUCAGGAAAUGAAGAAUGAUACUGAGAAAGGCCAGAAAACAUUUUAACAUUCCACUAAGAGAUCUCAGCCACACAUUGCAUGUGUCUUCAAGUUGGACAUCUGUUAGUCAUCUGUAUUGUUGCUGGAUUUGUAAUGGGGAAACAUUGGCAAUUUGUCCACGCUCUGACUGGUGU